GACGAACGCUGGCGGCGUGCUUAACACAUGCAAGUCGAACGGAAAGGCCCUGCUUGCAGGGUACUCGAGUGGCGAACGGGUGAGUAACACGUGGGUGAUCUGCCCUGCACUUCGGGAUAAGCCUGGGAAACUGGGUCUAAUAUCGGAUAGGAGCCAUUUUUAGUGUGAUGGUUGGAAAGUUUUUUCGGUGUAGGAUGAGCUCGCGGCCUAUCAGCUUGUUGGUGGGGUAAUGGCCUACCAAGGCGGCGACGGGUAGCCGGCCUGAGAGGGUGGACGGCCACAUUGGGACUGAGAUACGGCCCAGACUCCUACGGGAGGCAGCAGUGGGGAAUAUUGCACAAUGGGCGCAAGCCUGAUGCAGCGACGCCGCGUGGGGGAUGACGGCCUUCGGGUUGUAAACUCCUUUCGCUAGGGACGAAGCUUUUUGUGACGGUACCUAGAUAAGAAGCACCGGCUAACUACGUG
rnacentral:rRNA from 1 species